rnacentral:rRNA from 1 species
AUAUGCCUACGGGACGCAGCAGUAGGGAAUCUUCGGCAAUGGACGAAAGUCUGACUGAGCAACGCCGCGUGAGUGAAGAAGGUUUUCGGAUCGUAAAACUCUGUUGGUAGAGAAGAACGUUGGUGAGAGUGGAAAGCUCAUCAAGUGACGGUAACUACCCAGAAAGGGACGGCUAACUACGUACCAGCAGCCGCGGCAAUAUGUAGGUCCCGAGCGUUGUCCGGAUUUAUUGGGCGUAAAGCGAGCGCAGGAGGUUUAUUAAGUCUGGUGUAAAAGGCAGUGGCUCAACCAUUGUAUGCAUUGGA